GGGCUCACUUUGGCAACACAUAUACUAAAAUUGGAAUGAUACAGAGAAGAUUAGCAUGGCCCGUGAGCUAGGAAGACACACAAAUUAAUGAAGUAUUCCAUAUUUUU